rnacentral:rRNA from 1 species
AUUGAACGCUGGCGGAAUGCUUUACACAUGCAAGUCGAACGGCAGCACGGGGGCAACCCUGGUGGCGAGUGGCGAACGGGUGAGUAAUACAUCGGAACGUGCCCAGUCGUGGGGGAUAACGCAGCGAAAGCUGUGCUAAUACCGCAUACGAUCUAAGGAUGAAAGCGGGGGACCGUAAGGCCUCGCGCGAUUGGAGCGGCCGAUGGCAGAUUAGGUAGUUGGUGGGGAAAGGCUCACCAAGCCGACGAUCUGUAGCUGGUCUGAGAGGACGACCAGCCACACUGGGACUGAGACACGGCCCAGACUCCUACGGGAGGCAGCAGUGGGGAAUUUGGACAAUGGGCGCAAGCCUGAUCCAGCCAUUCCGCGUGCAGGAUGAAGGCCCUCGGGUUGUAAACUCCUUUCUGUGGGAAGAGAAGAAGACGGUACCACAGGAAUAAGCCUCGGCUAACUACGUGCCAGCAGCCGCCGC